CAACUCAAAUUGUUUUGGUUCAACCCAUAUUUCCAAAAGUUGCUAACCGUGAGAUGGAUACGGGGGAGAGCAAUUUUUUUGGGAAGAGAUAUUUUAUUUUCCUAUUUUAAAUGCAUAUAUUUAUUAAAACUGUAUUAAGAUUAUAUAUUCAUGCCAAAUAUAUUUUUAAAAUUUAAUUUUAUUUUAAUUUCAAUUUUUAUUCCAAUUUUAUAAAAAAAACUAUUCCAUCGUACCACACCCAAGUUUUUCUUGAAAUCAAAUUGAAAAAGUGGAAAUCAGAAGGUCAAAUGAGUCAAAGUGUGCCUUUUGGACGAGAAAGUUUCAACAGAAUGACUGGUCUUUGGUUUGUAAGUAACUCCCUCCCUCUUUUUGUCAAUUGCUUUUGCCAAAUCUCAUUAUUGUUAUUAUUACCUUCCUUCUGUCUUCCACCAUCAUCAUCACCUCAUCACCAUCCUACUUACCUCCAUUAUGAACCCUACUCUUUCACUAUUCUCCUUCGUCACAUUACAAUUCACACUCUCAUUCACUGCACCACCAUGGAACCAUGUUUCUAUCAGAGAAAUGGAGCAAGAGCAAGGCUCCUUCAUGCGUCUUCAAUGCCAGAGCACAAGUUUUUUCUGAAUUCCUGCAGCCAAGGAUCUGAACAGAGGAGUAACCUGAAUAGGGGAACUGAACUCUGCACUUGACAAGGCAGAAACAAUGAAAUCAUCGACUAUCUGUUCCUCACAAGAUGGCAAGAUAUCUGCUGUAGAAAGAUAUGCAUUAUUAGCAGUUUGCUUCACAAACAUGUCACAAUAUUACCAUGUUAUAGAAAACAGAAUUUAGUUUGCCUGCUUCCCUUCUGUUCUAACAUUUAGAUGCAGUGAAUGUUCCAAAUCAUCACAAGUUGAACGGGGCAGGAUAGUUGAUCCUGUACUAUAUUCGGAACUGCUUGGAGAGUCCUCAUGUAGCUCUGGUUGCCUAGAACAUAUACUGAAAGUAUUAGAUAUGUGGUGGUUGAACCGCAAGAAGUUACAAUUUUAAUAAAUUUAAAGUACCUUGGAUAUGGUUGGCUCCCCUCAUGACCACUCUUUAUGUCCUCAGCCAUAUUUUUAAGAUUUUCCAGCUGUAAAUCUGUGAUCUUAUAUCUUGAAAGAUCUGAUUUGUUUGUUCGGUUCAGAAAAUCUUGCAGAACCUAACAUCAUUAUUCAUAGUGUUAGAAGAUAUUUGAAGUCAAUAAACAACAUGAGGUAUACCGAUAAAAUCAUCUUAUUAGAGCCAUCAAAAAUGAGGAGUCAAGAGUGUUGCUUCCAUUUCUCUAAUUGAAUAAAAAUUCACCACAUGGGGUAGUGAGCUAUACUGAGGAAACUUUUUAAAGUCCGACAGGCUUUUAUGUGUCAGGGUGUGUUGAAGAUAUUGAGGGCCUUCUCCUCUGUCCUUUAGAUCUUGACUGGCAUAGCAAAAUUAACCUGGGGCCUUUGUAGAACUAAGUCAAGCUUCUUUUUAUUGAUUAUAUAUUAGAAAACUGAUAAACACAGCUAUUUUAGAUUUGGAAGUCAACAUCAACAUGAAUGAAUCAUGAUUUUUGCUAUCUUAGUUCGGAUACUUUUGACAGGGUUGACAGAAUCAGCUCGAUUCCCCUAUAUCAAUAAUAUAAUGCAGACCAGACCAAUGAAGCCAUUUCAGAGUUUUCAAGGCCAAAUUUCACAUCAUAAAUGAUCAAGUUCCAUAACCAACAACAUUCACUUCAAGGACAUUACCAUAACUGCUGAACUUGACAUUGCAGACAGGACGUUGGUCUGGCAAGCUGUUAUCAUUGAAAUUAGAUAAUAUACCAAAUGGCACUCUAGGUUGCUGACUAACUGGUGUUCCAAAUAGUUUACGUGAUCUGUCUCCAUAAGUGAUACUUGCUGCAGCAUCAGGGAUGUGGGCCCUACUACAUUACAAUUAAAAAUAACAUGUCACUACGAUUGCACUGUUCUUUUCUGCAGACUAGGUGUAGUGUGAUACUUAAAAGUAUCUCAUACCUCAUCUUCUUAAUUGAUUCUGCAGCCUCUGAUGUAGCAUCUGUACUGUAAAUAUGUUGAAAAAUUAUCCUUUUGUUAUUUGAAUUGAUGAAUGAAGGGCUGUUCUCUUUGGUCAA